GAUGAACGCUGGCGGCGUGCCUAAUACAUGCAAGUCGAGCGAACGGACGAGAAGCUUGCUGCUCUGAUGUUAGCGGCGGACGUGUGAGUAACACGUGUAUAACCUACCUAUAAGACUGGGAUAACCUCGGGAAACCGGAGCUAACACCGGAUGAUAUUUUGAACCGCAGGGGUCAAUAGUGAAAGACGGUCUUGCUGUCACUUAUAGAUGGAUCCCCGCUGCAUUGGCUGGUUGGUAAGGUAACGGCUUACCAAGGGAACGAUGCAUAGCCGACCUGUGAGGGUGGUCGCCCACCCUGGAGCUGGGCCACGGACCAGACUCCUACGGGAGGCCGCAGUCGGGAAUCUGCCGCAAUGGGCGAAAACCUGACGGAGCAACGCCGCGUGAGUGAUGACGGUCUUCGGAUCGUAAAACUCUGUUAUUAGGGAAAAACAUAUUUGUACGUAACUGUGCAGAUCUUGACGGUAACUAAUCAGAAAGCCACGGCUAACUACGUG
rnacentral:rRNA from 1 species